rnacentral:rRNA from 1 species
UACAGAGGGUGCAAGCGUUGUUCGGAAUUAUUGGGCGUAGAGGGUGCGUAGGCGGUGCGGUAAGUCUGUAGUGAAAUCUCUGGGCUCAACUCAGAGUCUGCUAUAGAAACUGCCGUGCUUGAGUGUGGGAGAGGUGAGUGGAAUUCACGGUGUAGCGGUGAAAUGCGUAGAUAUCGGGAGGAACACCUGUGGCGAAAGCGGCUCACUGGACCACAACUGACGCUGAUGCACGAAAGCUAGGGGAGCAAACAGG